rnacentral:rRNA from 1 species
AACGAACGCUGGCGGCAUGCCUAACACAUGCAAGUCGAACGAGACCUUCGGGUCUAGUGGCGCACGGGUGCGUAACGCGUGGGAACCUGCCCUUAGGUUCGGAAUAACUCCCCGAAAGGGGUGCUAAUACCACAUAAUGUCUUCGGACCAAAGAUUUAUCGCCUUUGGAUGGGCCCGCGUUGGAUUAGCUAGUUGGUAGGGUAAAAGCCUACCAAGGCGACGAUCCAUAGCUGGUCUGAGAGGAUGAUCAGCCACACUGGGACUGAGACACGGCCCAGACUCCUACGGGAGGCAGCAGUGGGGAAUAUUGGACAAUGGGCGAAAGCCUGAUCCAGCAAUGCCGCGUGAGUGAUGAAGGCCUUAGGGUUGUAAAGCUCUUUUACCCGGGAUGAUAAUGACAGUACCGGGAGAAUAAGCUCCGGCUAACUCCGUG